GUAAGAAAAUGCACAUAUCGUGUAUAAUCUCACCAUUAUUCACUCUAUUAAUCUCAGUUCUUAGCCAAGUCCAUCCAGCUUCUGUUCUUCACAUUAAAUAUAAAUCUAAUGAUUCCACUACAAUUCAUUUGUCAGUGUGAGUGCAGUUAUUCUUUGCUUUGGAGAUUGUCUUAUGGAUGUACACUGGUAAACACAAAAUGCUUCACUGAGAGUAGACCAUCUAUCAGUUUGCAGCCACAAAAUAUUUUUGAAAAGACAUUUUCUUGGCAUUAAUGUAUCUACCUAUGAUUUCAUGACCGGAAACAUGAGUAAUCUCCAACAAUAUAAACAUAUUAAGCAUGAAUAAACCUAGCAAUCUUAUCACAAAUAAAGAAAAAACAUGAGUUGCUUUGCUGAGAGUGUAUGUAAGCCUAAAGGACAACAAGUCAUGACAACUGAAAUUUAGUUUUGCAUGAAAUAUGAGCUGGGAGUAUCAAAAGCCAGUCUGUCUGGCAUGAAUGACCAUGGUGAUGAUAGGUAAUAACUUGGACUGGUAUCUGGAUAUGUUCUGGUUGGCACUUCAUACCCUUCAUGUCCUGUAAGUCUAGUGUGAUUAUUACGUACACUUUCCCUCACAAGACAACCAUGGAUAUACUUGUAUUUUUUUUCUUUAUAAAAGACAAGAACAAAAAAUAAAUAUCAAAAAUAACAA